rnacentral:lncRNA from 1 species
AAUAUAUAUAACUUUAUUUUGGUACAUCUGCACCAUCAUAACUGACAUUAUUUACAUACAAUAUAUAUCCCUGAUAAGUACAACAAAAUCCGAGACAAAAGCAUUGGUAUGCAUUACUAUAGUUACAGAUAAGUCUGAGACAAGACUUGAUGUGUUUACACUGAAAAAAUCUCACAGAAGUAUCUUGAACUUCCAGAUCAAGUUUAUGUAAGUGGUGUAACUUUAUGUUGGUAUUUCAUAUUCACGUACCAGUAGCCUAAGAUCAAUAAUUUAUCCCUUAUCAAGUUAAACAAUGUUAUCAAUUACAGUGGAUUUUUUAUUUCCAUGGUUACUUAUUUUUGUGGAUUUAGGAAAAAGGUUCUAUUCCGAAAUAUUUGAUUUCAUUGUUUUGCAAAAACUAAAUUAAGAAGGUCUAUAGAAAACUGGUUCAUCUUUGAACAUGUAAAUUUAUGGUUCAUCUUCUCCUGGAAAUCUAUGAAUAUUAAUACCACAAAAUCCCAUAAAUAUUAAUGAAUAGUAUACUACUUUCAAUUUGUGAUGCAUGUUUACUCAAAAUUCUACCCAAUAGUAGGAUGGCAAAAGUGGUUAAAGGUUCCUAGUUUAAGGGAUACCAUGUGACAAAUGUAAAAUAAUAAUUGAAACCAAGGUAAUUUAACUAAAAUUGACAGAUUUCAAAGAAAUCCAACCUGACAGUGGGGGAUAAUUAACAAUAGGAAGCAGUGGAAACACAAUUUCAUUAAGUUAACAAUAUUGAAGGCCAAGGCAGCUAUUUAACAAAAAUGUCAUAAUCACUUUGUCUAUAUAAUCAACAAAAAACAAAUAGUUAUAAUACAAUGUAACAAAUAUAACAUUUGGUAUGUGUAUUGUCCUUACUACUUAUACAAAAAAUUUACAGCCAAUAUAACAUACAAUUAUAAAAUUAUCACAGUGGCGACUUGAAGCGAUAUUAUCAUACAAACUUAACAUAUAACACUGUAAUAAUCAUUUAUAAUAUUGAUAAUGAUGACGAUAAUAUGGAUAUGUUCGUGAUAGGUCUUUGAACCUUAUCAGUUUGAAUGAAUGUAGUUCACUGUUUUCACCAUUAUAAUGUGUAACUGACAACUUAAAAAGGACAAACAAAAUCAAAAUGGAGAGGUUGAACAUUAUAUUUUAAUUAUAAUUACACACUGAUUAAAUAUUGAGGUUAUUUUCUUUAUAUUGGACUAGAGGUUAUAAUGUGUCAAUAGAUAUGAUGCAACAACAAAACAUCUUAAUACAUACUUUGAAGACCUUGAUAAAAAUGUGCUCUAUAUAAAAAAAUAUGAAUUCAACAAAUAUAUUCAGGGGGGAGGGGGAGAUAUUUGUAAGUAUUCUUGACAAAUAUUCUCCAUGGUUAUCAUAAGAGAUGUUGGGAGCUUACAGUGCAUGUUAAAAUAACUGUUUCAUAUAAAUAAACAUAAACUAAUUUCAUAAUUCAUAAUUCAAAACAGAUCAAAAUUGGAAUGUUUCACUUUAUCUAACCUUUCAUGCAUUUAAACUAUUUAAAUCAAUAAUUUGGCAAAAUCAAUUCUGAGAAUGAAAAACUGAGUAAUGUUCAUUUGCUGCUGUGAUAAACAUAUGUACCUUAUCUAACGUCACCGUUAUAAAACCUUGUAACUGAUUUUGAGAUCAUGUCAAAAUAACAAGUACCCUUUGCACAAAAAUAAAUUCAGACAGCACUAAUAUAUCAAAUCAUUAUUAACCAAACUAGUGACUGUAUCAUCAACCUGGUAUCUUUAACCUCAUGAACUGGUUAGCAUACUUAGUAUGAAAUAAGAUUAAAAUGUCAAGCCUCUCAUAUCUACUUUGUUCUAAGGCUUUUGUAUGUAAAUAAAUUAUAUAUUAAGUUGUGGUGUAAAAUAUAUACCCAGUGGCAGCUUAGUGACCUUUAUAGCUAUAAUGUACCUUCUUUGAAAUAGGGGGCAGGAGGGGAGAGGGGGAUCUGCAAGUCUUCUUAUUCUUAAGCAAUAACAAAUAAAUCAUAGCUUUUAGUUCAACAUUUUUAACAUUUCGAAGAUCGAAGUACAUGCAUUUAUCUACAAUUGAAGCCAGCUUUAUGGAUGGCUGUUCACAGACAGUGAUGGACACAGAAAUUCUGGCUAUAGACCAUACUGACACACUAGACCAGUAAGUCUAAUUUAAUUUAAUUUAAUUGUGUAAUGAAGGUUAAUGCUGUUGAUCUGGUUUUAAGGAAAAUAAACAGUGCAAAUAAACAGUGUAAAUAAACAGCCAUUACACAAAUAUUUGGUCCCAAUAUGACAAAAUGAAUAACAAUAACAUGAUUCAAACUCAUUUUUAAAAAGUGUCACAGAUAUAAAAAAAAGAACUAAAUAGUACUUGUCUGGAAUAUUUUUUUCAAUUGUUGUUUAGCUCUUUAAUAAUAUAAUUGUUCAAGAGGGGGGUAUGUAGCUAUUAAACCAGAUUUAUUACAUUGCAAUUGGUUGCAGUAAAAUUCCAGAUUAUGCAGUCCAAUUAAAACUGUUGAUUGUAUGAGUGAAAAAAAAAUAUGACACUUUACUUUACAUGGUUUAUAUGACAAACUACAGUAUGCAGAUGAAUUAAUAAACAGACUACAAAAUAAAAUAACAAAUAUGAGAUCCCUCUGGCAUGAAACUUUUUGAGAAGAAAGUAAAAAUGUCUACUACUCUAUAUAAAAAAAUUAUAUUACCAAUAUAUUUCAAAACUUGGCCAAACUAUAUCAUUUUUAAG